CUGCCAUUAAAACUUUUCAGCUAGAGUAUGAUAGAGGAAAGCAGAAUUUCUAGUGUAGAGGUGAAAUUCGUAGAUAUUAGAAAGAAUACCAAUUGCGAAGGCAGCUUUCUGGAUCAUUACUGACACUGAGGAACGAAAGCAUGGGUAGCGAAGAGGAUUAGAUACCCUCGUAGUCCAUGCCGUAAACGAUGUGUGUUAGACGUUGGAAAUUUAUUUUCAGUGUCGCAGCGAAAGCGAUAAACACACCGCCUGGGGAGUACGACCGCAAGGUUAAAACUCAAAUGAAUUGACGGGGACCCGCACAAGUAGUGGAGCAUGUGGUUUAAUUCGAAGAUACGCGCAGAACCUUACCAACACUUGACAUGUUCGUCGCGACUCUAAGAGAUUAGAGUUUUCGGUUCGGCCGGACGAAACACAGGUGCUGCAUGGCUGUCGUCAGCUCGUGUCGUGAGAUGUUGGGUUAAGUCCCGCAACGAGCGCAACCCUCACUUUUAGUUGCCAUCAUUAAGUUGGGCACUCUGAAAGAACUGCCAGUGAUAAGCUGGAGGAAGGUGGGGAUGACGUCAAGUCCUCAUGGCCCUUACGUGUUGGGCUACACACGUGCUACAAUGGUAUCUACAACAGGAAGCAAGGCUGCGAGGUCAAGCAAAUCCCUAAAAGAUACCUCAGUUCGGAUUGCACUCUGCAACUCGAGUGCAUGAAGCUGGAAUUACUAGUAAUCGUGGAUCAGCGUGCCACGGUGAAUGCGUUCCCGGGUCUUGUACACACCGCCCGUCACACCAUGGGAGUUGGUUCUACCUUAAGGCAAGGUUUCAAACCCUUGACCACGGUAUAGUCAGCGACUGGGGUGAAGUCGUAACAAGGUAAC
rnacentral:rRNA from 1 species